rnacentral:hammerhead_ribozyme from 1 species
AUUUAGCUGACGAGUCUCAAAUAGGACGAAACGCGCGUCCUGAAU